rnacentral:misc_RNA from 1 species
AACCUAGCACACCUGCGGUGUGUACCUGCGGAGGGAUCAUUACAGAGUUGCAAAACUCCCCAAACCAUUGUGAACCUUACCUUCAAACGUUGCUUCGGCGGGCGGGCCACAGCGCCCCCCGGGCCCCCCCAGCGGGGGCGCCCGCCGGAGGAUACCCAAACUCUUGAUACUUUAUGGCCUCUCUGAGUCUUCUGUACUGAAUAAGUCAAAACUUUUAGCAACGGAUCUCAGAUCGGAAGA